GUGGGUAUAGUUCAGUGGUAGAACAUUUGACUACAAAUCAAAUAGUCCCUGGUUCAAAGCCCGGUACCUCCU